rnacentral:rRNA from 1 species
AUGGAUAACACCACCUGCCCUAUAAUGUGUUGGAAUGUAAGAGGACUGAACACCCCGGCUCGUCGAUCUGUAGUGUGUGACACCGCGAGCGCGCAUAGGCUAGACAUUCUAUGCCUUCAGGAGACAAAGAUUGAAAUAGUCGCCGGUGAUAGCAGGGAAAUCGGAGGGGGCAGGUUAGAUGACUGCGCCGUGCUGCCAGCCAUAGGAACGCGAGGAGGAAUUGCCAUUUUCUGGAACUCUGGCAACGUCUCCGUCCAAACUCACGCCAUAGGCCAAUUCUCCAUCACGGCUAGAGUUAGUCUUUUUGGAUCCCAAAGAUCUUUCUGGCUCACCACGGUCUAUGGACCAGUCGACGAGGUGUGUAAGGAUGAGUUCCUUGCUGAGAUCGCCAGGGCGGCCCCUCAGCCUGGAGAGGCUUGGCUAAUCAACGGCGACUUUAACAUCAUAUAUGAGGCUAGGGACAAGAGCAACAGUAACAUUAACCGUAGGAUCAUGGGCAAGUUUAGAGCAGCUAUCGAUGCGGCGGGCCUACGCGAAAUCAAAUGC